AAUCCCUGUGGCAAGAUCUCUCCAUAGUUGUCAAAAAAACUAGCUUGCAGCAUCCCCUUGGAGGGUUUCAACCGAAUGGACCAUAAGAACCUAUGUCCACUCCUCUCGAGCCCGAUUGCAAUUUCUUUCAACUGAGCUUCAUCAAAGCCUCCUCCGCUCCCGAAGCACAAGAACACCACUGAUUUUUCAGGUUGAUCAUCAAGCCAUUUCAAGAUCUCGUCACGCUUGACGCCAUCGGAUCCUGACAGACUCUUUCCCUUGUGAUCAAUCAAUGGCCCAACAUUGAAAAUAGGUGGUAUAUCAACUCUAGCCAAAAGAGCACUAACUGCAAGGGACUCAGCUUCUGAAAAUGUAUUAACAAUGAUACCGUUGGAGUCCUUAAACUUUCUUCCAUGGUUUGCAAAAGCCUCAUAUUCCACAUCGAUGUGCAAUAACGGCAAAAGACGGUAAGGCACGGGAUUUGAAUAAGAGGGGAUGAUAUAGUGUCAGUAGGGCUAAACUUAGGCUCACCCUUGUCUUGUCUAUCUGAAAGGUAAAGCAUCGUGGCAAGAAAGGCAGCAUCAGAAGUGUAAAAAACAUGAGAAGGGACCCCAAGUUCUUUGGCAAUAUCAAUAAAUGCAGUCACUACAAGAUUUAACAGUUUUACUGAUGGAAUUUCCGUCAGUGUAAGACACAUAUUCCAUCGGUAAUUAAUUUACCGACGACAUGACCGACGAAGAAUUUCUGUCGGUGAAUCUUUAUGAUUACAUAUCUGAUAAUCAAUGUUUUGCAGGUAUGAGAUGCAGGAUCUGCAUGUUUCUGAGACCCUUCCUCAAAUGGUUGCUCUCUCUGAGGCAUACCUGCAGAUAUAUGAGCAGCAGCAGUAGCACUGGAGUUUAGAAGUCCUAUUGUCAACAUGUUGUCAUACUGUUUUUGGGUACAAGUAACACAAGAGUCUUACCUUCUGUAAAUGGUUGAGGAAAAAUCGGAAUAUGAUGGAACCAUUGCUUGACUGGCACUUGGCAGAUUUACUAAGCUUAGAAAAACAUUGAGGUUUUGUAGAAAAAAGGCAGUGCUUUGUCUGUUUCAUACCAUUAAAAGGAUGAACAGUUUUGUUACUAAAAAACUUUCCAUCUAUUGUAGCAGAGCAGGAAACUUAAAUAAUGCGGUGAUGAUUGACUUAGGUGAUUCAGACAGUGACUUCGGUUUGGUUGUCAUGCUUUGUGUACAACUUUGAUCUGUAGGGAUAAAAAAUGAUAUGCUAGGCUUUGGUUUGUUCAUUGUUACCGAGUUCUCAUGGCAGUAAUGUCAUGAAAAGCAGUAUUCGUAGGCUUCUCUUGUUUUAUUGUCGACACUUCAUUGCCUGGAUUUCUUUCUGCUAGUAUUUUUCUUACAGUGAUGUGGUGGAUUGUAUUCUGUUUCGUAUUGUUGUGAUUUUUUGAAGUGCAGCAGUUUCUACUUGAAAAAAGUGUUAAUGCAAACAGAUUUACCAGAGACAGAGACAGCCUGAAUUGAAGGUAUGUAUGCGUCCUAUCAAAUACACACAGCCCUGCUUGAAUGGUAUGUGUGCCUCCUUUCAGAUAAAGUAGUCCAGCACACGGGGAAGCCCUAAUAUUAAAUGGAGUGCUCAGUGAUGGAGAUUGCAAGCAAUGCCCUCGGUAGGGAAGUCACUGAAUGGAGGCCACGAGCCAGCAACCGAGACUUGAUCCCCGAGUUUUUGUCGGGACGGAGACAGUAAAGAUCCCCCCUUGAUUCAUAGCCACUUUCUAAAGGUUUCAAGUUGAGACUUGAUCUCCUGGUUUUGGACAUCGCUCUUUGGAGGUAUAAAACUAGUAUAAAUGUAAUAAUGUUUUUUUUUUUUGGUAUGAUUAAAUUUUGGAUUGGAUUUGAUUUAAAUAAAAACUUAACUCACAUUAAAUUAUUCAAUAAAUCUUAACUAACACAUCGAGGAAUCUAGAUUAUUUAAUUUGCAAUGAACCAUUUCGAUCCUUGUAUUUUCUCUCUAAAUGAUAAAAAUGAUAAAGGAGAGGCAUCAAACAAUUAUCACCUCCACAUAUUUUUAUUUGAAGUGUAUAUUAACGAGUUGGGGUGAGCAAAAAACCGAGAAAUCAAGAAAACUAAAAAAAAAAUAACUGAAAAAAUCGAAUCGUGAAAAAAAAAAAACUGAUUAAAUUUUUUAAAAAACUGACCGGUUUGGUAUUGGUUUUAUAAGCCUAAAACCAAAUCGAAUCGAAAAAAAUCGAGCCAAACCGGAAAAAAUCGAGCCAAAUUGGAAAACUGAGCCAAACUGAAAAAAACCGGCCGGUUCGAACCGGUUUCAGUUCGGUUUCGAUUUUUUUCUUAAUUUUUUUUUUAUUUGGUUACUUUUUUGAUAAAAACCAAACCGAAUCAAACCGAAUUUGAUAACCCCUAUUAAUAAGACUGGCAUUCCCUUCAUUAGUAGCCAUACUAUUAGAGAAUGAGGAAGUGUUGUCUGCAGUAAAUAAUGUAUCAGCAAAUGGUGCCAAGUGUAGAAGCAACAUUAAAUAGAUGAAACAAUUAUGUCAAGUCAUUUUAUUGAUUCUUAUUUUUAAAGUAUAAAGAACUUUCUUCAAUUAGACGCUCUUGAUAUAAACAAUUUUUUAGGAGGAUGGUAGCAUUUAUAUUCCUUUUGUGUUGCAGAAUAUCCCAAAAAAACACACUUAACGAAUCAAGCUUGUUACUGAUGUGAAAUUUGUAUAUGAACAAAACAAGUGUAACUAAACAUUUAUAAAUAAGAUAAAUUAGAUGGUUGUUUCUGCAAAACUUCAAGAAAAGAUUUAAAAUGUAAUACUUGACUAAGUAACUGAUUGAUUAGAUAUGCAACACAUAACACUUUGUGAGACCAAAAUAUUUUAGAAACAUGCAUGUGUAUCUCUAGUUAUUUUUUCAUAAGUCUUUGUUUUUACAUUCAGCUGCCUCAUUUUUAUUGUGGUAUGCCAACACAGCUGGAACAGACCCUUCGAUGUUGUUUUCCGAAUGGAUUAUAAGAACUUUUGUGCACUCUAUUCGAGCCCAUUUGCUAUGUCUUUCAAUUGAGGUUCACUAAAGCAUGUGGUUUGCUAACUUAAUUGCUGACACAAGAUGACCAUGUUUUGCUGCAAGAAUUAACACUAGCUGUGGUUUCUUGAAGAAACUUUCUUCAUUCCAAUAAUAACGGUAGGAAAAAGGUGAAUGUUAAGUUUGUCGGUAUAAGACCCAAUCUAGUUUGACACGUUAAUUUAAUGACUCAUUUAUUCAAAGUUUGGCUUGGUGGGUUAACGUGAUGACUAGGUCAACACAAUGACCCACUGACUCAGAGCUUGGCUUGGCCAAGUGACUGAAAAAUCAAAUAUAUAUAUUUUUUUUUAUCAAAACAACGAUGUUGUUUAAGUUUUUUUUUUUUGUUAAAAAAAAAAGCUUGGGAUGAAUUGAAUCAAACCCAUCAAUCUACAACCCCACCUUGCGUAGAGUAGACUCCUCGGUCAGGUAUUAUAAUUAUGGUUAUGUGUGAACUAUAAAAUAGAAAGAAAUGACAAGUUGAUCUCUCUUAAGAGAAAAGGAAGAUGAAUUGCCUCCGGUAGUAAAGAAUUAAUGUCUAACUUAUAUAGGUGCGUUAGUUGUGGAUUUUUCAUUGGAAAGAAAUGACAAGUUGAUCUUUCUUGAGAGAAAAUGAAGAUGAAUUGCCUACGAUAGUGAAGAAUUCAUGUCUAACUUAUAUAGGUGCGUUAGUUGUGGUUUUUCAUGAUUAAAUUAUGUGGAUUGUUUAACAGAGUUAUUUACCAAUCAAUAAGACAUGGUUAAGUUCAAAAAGAGGUUUGGAUUGAGCAGCGUGCUCGGUCUGAUAAAAAAUCCCAUAAUUUUUUAUAUAUUCUUUUAAUCACUCUCAAAUUUAGUUAGGAAAUUCCAAAGAUGGAGACCCAAAAGCCUUUAAAUUAGGCUUAGAAGGAGCUCAUCAAGUUAGUUUUGUUAUUUUUUUUUAAUUAUUUUGGAUUUUUAGUUUGGUUAGAACUUUUAUUGCUUGGUAUUUUAUGAUUAGGACUUUAGUUUCAUUUCUUGAGUACGUCAAUUUUUUAGAUUUAUUUAAAUAAUUAUAAAUAUAUUAAAAGAUACAAAAUAUUAAAGAGAAAAUAUGCAGUAAUAAAUUUUUAAAUUAAAAUUUUUAUGUCGUUAUUCUACAAAAUUUAACGGGUUUGUGUUUAUGUUUUUUUUUUUUUUAUCAUUAUUAUCCGGGCCCCGCAUCACUUACUUCCAAAUGAUGGUGUGACAGCUGAAGCCAAUCAGUGAUGAUCUACCGGUGAAGGAAGCAAAUAUCACUUGCUUAGUUGCUUUUGCGUGUGGUCAAGAACAAGAUGCAUAUCCCCUUGCACGUCACUACACAUGUAAGCAAGUUAUUAGUUGAACCAUUUAGGUGGUGCUCCAAUAAUAAAAAUUUAAGACCAAGAGGUUUGUAAUUUUUGUGGUUUCAAGUUCAAAUUCUAGGUUGCUUAUAUGAUGGCUACUGGAGGCUUACAUGGUCGUUAAUUUCAGGACUUGUGGGAUUAGUCGAGGUACGCGCAAACUAGCUCGGACACCCACGUUAAUCUAAAAAAAAAAGUUAGCAUUAGUUUACAAUAUUAAGGUGUACGGCUUUGAUUAAGUUUUAAAUUUGUUUUUUUAAAUUAUUAAUUUAAGUUUAAUAAAUUUUAAGAUUAUUAGAGAUUUAUGUAGUUAUUAAUUUUAAAAUUUAUAAAUUUAAUCAAGAUAUAUACAAAUUAACCAAACACUUAAAAUAAUAAUAAUAAAUUGGCAUUAGCCGGUGUAAUAGAUUUUAAUGCUAUAAAACAAAAGGAAGAAAAGAACAAAAAAAAAAGGUACGGUCAUUUCAUAAGGCCUCAACUUUAAUUAACUUCGUCAGAACUAAUGUUGCAUAGGAAAUAGAUCACUACAACAUGACCAAAUCAAACAAACUAUAUAUAUAUAUAACACACACAUGAUAAUUAAAGACUAUAACUUAAUUUAAUUUGAGGAGAAUGAAAUUAAGCCACGACAGGAAUUAAUCAACAUGGUAAAUAAUAUUGCAAUCAAAGUUAGAGCCUGCAAAUCCAAUCAAACUAAUAUUAACAUCAGAGUUAGAAACAGACAAGGAAAAAAAAGUACCCCUGGCACUAGUUACCAACAAAGAAAAAAGAAUCAGUGAAUUUUUGCAGGAGAUGAACAAGAUAAACAAAGUAACUUACCUGGUGAAGACUAGAAAGAUGCCGUUGUUGUUGUAUUGACUCUGGUUCUCACAAUGGAUGGUGAAAAGGAUGCCGUCGAUGAUGAAAAAAAUUAAAAAGGUGAGGGGCGAGGGCUGUUAUGGAGUAUCGGUUGACAGUGGUUGAUUGUUAGAUCGUGGACGGCUGAGAGAAAAAGAUUAAGAGACCGAGUCACUGAGGAAUCCUCAGUGAGGAUUUAUAAUUUUGGGAUUUUUUAUGUUCUGAACGUGAAUGGUUAAUGUAAAGAGAAGACUGCAUGCAUGAUUGAUGAUUGAGUGAAUUUGUAUUUACUCUGUUAAAGUCAAUACGCGGUCGACACCUGGCAGCCACAUUGCAUUUUUAUUUCCAGCGGCUAAACUCGUUCAAUCGGUGGUGAAAUCACGACUUUACAUAAUUUCACCCGAUUUUAAUGAUUUUACGUAUUUUCGAGUUUUAUAAAUGAUUUAGCACGUAAAGCCUAUAUUAACUCGUAAAAACGUAUGAUUUUACGAGUUGAAUCGCGAUUUUAACAACCUUGGUUAUAUGUCUUAUGGAAAUAAAAACUAAAAUCAUCAAAUUUAAUUUAAGAAAAUAAUAACUUACAAAAGAAAAUGGUUUAAUGAACUUAUCAAUUCUCAGUCGUAGUGAAUUUGCUGGCUUCGAUUCCCUACAUUGGAGUGUGAUUAUCGUGUGAAACGCUCGAACAUCACAUGAUAAAUAUAUCCCAUCUAUAUAUUUUCCGGGAUGUAUGACGGCUUGAAAUCCUUCUAAACCACCACGUCAUUCCAACCAGACAAAGCCUUUUUCCUAGCAUAAAUAUUUCUAAACUAUCCAUCAAGUUUCAGGUAUUUAUAUAGAUAUCUAUUAUCUAUUAUUAUUUAUUAAUUAAUAAAAAAUAAAAUAGUAUAUAUGCGUGUGUUUUUUUAAAAAAUAUCAUAUUAUUUUUUUAAAUAUAUUCAAUAAACAAGUAGGCUUCGGUUAAUAUUCAAAAGUCUCAUGUUAAAUUAUUACCCCUGUCCCGCCAUAUUACACAAGUUAUGCACAACUUUUUUUCUUUCUCCUCGUCCUUUAUCUUUUUGCUUAUUGCCGUAGCUUGUCGAUCCCUCUCGAUCAAAUUUACAAGCACCCGUCCCUUUUAAAAUAAUCAUCUUUUCUUUAAAUUAAAUUUAGGUUGUAGCUAAACAAAUUAAGUUUUAAAUUUAAUUUUAGAGAUUAUUAAUUCAAGUUUAAUAAAUUUUAGAAUAAUUAAAAAUUUAUAUAAUUAUUAAUUUUAUAAUUUAUAAAAUUAGUUGAAAUAUAAAUAAAUUGAUCGGAAUACUCAUAUUAAAAAUAAAUAACAUUAGUUGAUGUGAUAUAUUUUAAUACUAUCAAAAGGAAGAAAAGAAAAAAAAAAUACAGUCAUUCCAUGAGACCUCGACUUUAAUUAACUUCAUCAGAACUAAUGUUGGAUAGGAAAUAGAUCACUGCAACAUGACCAAAUCAAACAAACUAUACAUAUGAUAAUUAAAGACUAUAACUUAAUUUAAUUUGAGGAAUGAAAUUAAGCCACAGUAGGAAUUGAUGAUCAUUGAUGGAAUCAACAUGGUAGAUAAGGCGUAAACUCUUCAAGGUUUGCUUCCUAACCAUUGAUCAAUCAAGUUUCCAAAAGCAACAUACGAAGAUCCACCCUCCACCACAGCUUUCUUCGCCAUUUCACUGGUUUCUGUGGCCUUGUUCCUCAGUUCACCACCUUGUUCCAUCAUGGUUUUCACAGCUUUUGUUAUCACCUCCGCCUUGACAAAAUCUGUAGGGCAAUCUCUCCUAAAAUCCAACGUCAAUUCCACAGCUAAUCCCAAGUCUUUCACCAGCUGAAAUGCAUUCAUGUGUUGCUCAGCAUAUAAUGGCCAAGUUAUAAUAGGCACCGCAUGCCACAAGGCCUCCAAAGUUGAGUUCCAUCCACAGUGUGAUACGAAAGCGCCUACUGCUUUAUGUGCCAAGAUUUCUACCUGUGGUGCCCAUCCACAUAGCAUCCCAACGUUUUUAGUUCUUUCCCAGAAUCCCUGUGGCAAGAUCUCUUCAUAGUUGUCAAAAAAACUAGCUUGCAGCAUCCCCUUGGACGGUUUCAACCGAAUGGACCAUAAGAACCUAUGUCCACUCCUCUCGAGCCCGAUUGCAAUUUCUUUCAACUGAGCUUCAUCAAAGCCUCCUCCGCUCCCGAAGCACAAGAACACCACUGAUUUUUCAGGUUGAUCAUCAAGCCAUUUCAAGAUCUCGUCACGCUUGACGGCAUCGGAUCCUGACAGACUCUUUCCCUUGUGAUCAAUCAAUGGCCCAACAUUGAAAAUAGGUGGUAUAUCAUCUCUAGCCAAAAGAGCACUAACUGCAUGGGACUCAGCUUCUGAAAAUGUAUUAACAAUGAUACCGUUGGAGUCCUUAAACUUUCUUCCAUGGUUUGCAAAAGUCUCGUAUUCCACAUCGGUGUGCAAUAACGACAUGACACGGUAAGGCACGGGAUUUGAAAACAGGGGAUGAUAUAGUCAGGGUCAGUAGGGCUAAACUUAGGCUCACCCUUGUCUUGUCUAUCUGAAAGGUAAAGCGUCAUGGCAAGAAAGGCAGCAUCAGAAGUGUAAAAAACAUGAGAAGGGACCCCAAGUUCUUUGGAAACAUCAAUAAAGGCAGUGCAGAACAUAUCAACAACAACACUAGCAAUUGGUGCAGGGUUGUGGGCCAUGACUUGGUUAACAAUAGUAUCUUUUACAAGGGUUUUGUGAUCAUUGAUGUAAGAAGUAUAAGCACUUGCAGGGCUUACAGCUAAAGCUUCUGUAGGAAGUGCAGGUAUGGUCUCAGGAAUUUCGAUGAACCUGAUUUCUGUAUGAAUUGAAGCAAGCGAUUCGCUGUUCUUGCUUGUGCCACCGUAAAUUGGAUUGUGGAUGGCAAGCAUGGUUAUCAAGAAACUGUCGUUUCUCUCAAGAACCAUCUUUGCUAACUGAACAGCUGAUACAAGGUGGCCAAAUCCAGGUGCAGGGACAAAGACGAGCUGUGUUUUCUUCAUUUUGGAGGUUUUGAAUGUUCAAUGUGGUGAUCCUUGUUUGCCUUAUAAUGGGCUCAAGGUUAAUGCCACAAUGCCAGCUGUUAUGGAUUUUUUUUUCUAAAUUAAUCAUGAUCAAAUUGGAUGUGACAAAUAUUACAAAGAUUGAUUUCAUAGAAAAAUUUUCUUGUAAUAUUUUUAAACAAUUCAAAUUAAAUAAAAAAAUAUAAAUAUAAAAUAAAAUAAAGGUAGGGUUUCAUUAAUCAUUUUAUUCUUAAAUUAUAUUUUUAAUCUAAAUAUAAAAAAAUUAUAUAUAGACUAAACUAAAUUAUAAAUAAAUAAAAUAAAUAUAUUUUUUAACAACAUUAAUCUAUCCCGUAAGAUAUAAAUAAUUUAAUAUGAUAAUUUAAUUAAGUAUCACUUGAUUAAAAUAUAUUUUAAAAAUUAAAGAUUAGAUUAUAAUUAAUACAAGCAUUAUAUAUAUUUCUAGAUCUAGAAAAAUCAAGUAAGAAUUUAAUUGAUUAAAUUUCUAAAAUUACCCUUAUAUAGUAUAUGGAUAUUAUUUAAGAGAAAAUAAAUAUAUGUUGUCAUUUAUACGGUUUUAGGAUUUCUUAUAAAUAUAAAACUAAACCUAUUAUUUUGUAAGUAAAAAAUAAUGAUUGUCUGUUAAAUAGAAAAAUUACGUAAAAACAAUAUUAAAACUAACACUUUAUACAUAACAAUCUAUCCUUUCUAAAUUGAAAUUUAUAAGUUUUUUCACGGGUAGUUUGUGUGGAUUAUCAUUAGAGAUCAGGUAAUAAAAUUAUUUAUAGUUUAUGACAAUCUAAUCUUUUAAAAAAUAAUUUAAAAUAAAAAAAUAUUUAAAUAAUAAAUUUCUAAAUAAUUUUAAAUUUAAUCUAAUAUGAUAUAAGAAAUAAAAUCCUGUUAGUGCGAGUUUGUGUGUAUUGACAACUUAAUAUAUCCAGUCAUGCGAAUUAUUUGUAGUUGUUAACUUUUUAUGGUUUCAAAUUGAGGAAGGACGUAGUUUUUAAUGUCAACAACAAUGAUUGAUUGUGAUUGCAUUUAAUAGCUAGACAGUUACAUGGCUAUAAAGAAUCUAAAGAUAUAAUAUAUAUACAUGAUGAUAUUCUAUUUAAAUUUAUUAAAUGGAAAUUUCGUAGGAAUUGCUGAAGUGUUAAAUUGUGGAUGAAGUUUUUUAUGAAUUUUUAUUUUUAUAUUAUUCUAUUGUACUUUUCAUCAUUGGUAGUUAUUUAUGAAAAAUAUUAUAUCACAAUUUAUAUCAAAAUUAUUGACACAAAAAUUCUAUCACUAUUAUCUUCUAAAAUUAUUGAUGAAAAUUUUUUCAUUUGCAUUUCUGAUUUUAUUUAUUAAUUUUCUGGUAAUAAAAAUAAUAAUAAUCUUAUGCUCAGGUUUAUAAUCCUAUAAUUAAAAAAAAUAGUAUCCAUACCAGAAAUUGAAACUUAAAAAAAGAUUAAACCUUCCAUUUUUAAAUUAUAUGAAAUGUUGAUAAUACAACUAAUCAAACAUAAACUAACAAUCAUUUAAACAAAAAUUAAGAAUUGAUGGUAUAAUUCUAUAAAUUAAUUUUUAAAAUUACAUUUUAUAAAUUUUUAUCAAGUAAUUCUACUAUCAAUUCCUAAAAUCUAACAAUCAUUUAAACAAAAUUUAAGAAUUGAUGAUAUAAUUACUUGGUAAAAUUUUAUAAAAAUAAGCAAACUUUCCUAAUAAUCAUAUAUACUCAUCCUUCUUAUUAAAUGGCAUUUAAAAGUCUAAAAUAAAGAAUACCUACAUCUAGCUAAAACAAAAUUCAGGAUUCUUCUACAAUAAAAACGCUAUGGCGCAUCAUAAACGAAAAAUCCAAACCAACACGAUCAAAUAUAUAUAUAUAUAUCAUGUAAUGACACAUAAACUUUCAAGUCAAAAUAUUAUAUUUUGAAGAGUGAAAAUACAAACAAUGUUAGUCAAUCUAAAGCUAUCACAUGCCCAACUAUUCUAAUGGCGCUAAUUUUCAACUACUAAUUAAAAACAAAAUACUAAAAAUUAUAUAUUUUAUAUUUUUAAAUCAAUUUAUAUAUUAAUUAAAAUAAAGUAUACAAUAUUAAAAUUAUUCAAAAUGUUAGACUCACAUCAUGCAUAAACUCAUAUGAGCUUAUCUUUUAAUGUAUCAUGAAUGAUUUUAUUGGUGUGGGUUUUUUAUAUAUAUAAUCCUGAAUAUUUAAACUAUUUACCUCAAUUAUUUUCUUAAAAUUCUAAAUUUUACCAACCAUGUAAUGUAUUGAUGGGGAAGGCAGUGAGGUGACUGUUUCUGGAGGGACGGGUGCUAGUGAAUUGGAUAGUGAGGGGUCGACAAGCCAUGGCCAUAAGCAAAAAGAUAAAGGACGAGGAGAGGGAGAAAAAGUUGUGCAUAAUUUGUGCAACAUGUGAUGGUGGAACAGGGAUAAUAAUCAUAUUAUAUCUGUGUGUGUUUUUAAAAAAAUAUCGUAUUAUUUUUUUAAAAUAUAUUCAAUAAAUAAGUAGGCUUCGGUUAAUAUACAAAGUCUCAUGUUAAAUUAUUAUACCUGUCCCACCAUUUUACACAAAUUAUGCACAACUUUUUUUCUUUCUCCUCGUCUUUUAUAUUUUUGCUUAUUGCCGUGGCUUGUCGAUCCCUCACGGUUCAAUUUACAAGUACCCAUCCCUUUCAAAACAGUCAUUUUAAAUUCAGCAAGGGUAAGUUAAACUAAUUAAAAGUUAUUGGUUUUAAUUUUAUAAAUAUCAUGAUCGUAUAAUUAUUAAUUUUAAAAUUUUUAAGAAUUAAUCAAUAUACAUACAAGUUAGUCUAUUGGUUUGAAUUUUAUAAAUAUCAGGAUCGUAUAAUUAUUAAUUUUAAAAUUUUUAAGAAUUAAUCAAGAUAUAUACAAGCUGGUCUAAACAUCAAUAUUAAUAAUUAAAAAAUAACAUUAGUUGGUGUGCUAGAUUUUAAUUCUAUAAUGUCUGCGAACAAGAAGGAGAAUGUCUGCGAACAAGAAGGAGUACGAAUGCUGGUCUUGAAGAAAGCAUAGGAACAAUUAACAGUUCCACAACAGUGGAUGUCAGGGAACCAAGGAUCUCCAUAGCCAAUGUUCUGUCUUUGUUUAGCAGCCAAACCACAAGUUUUGGAUGAUCACUACUGCGUAUUUGAAAAACUAUGGAGAUGGAUGUAGCAGAUAAAAUGAUUGAAAGAAUUUGCUUAGAGCAACUACAGAGAGACAGAGAGGCUAGGUUAGUUUGUGAAGUCAAGUCAAGCAAUUAUAUUCAAGUAAAUAUGACCCUAAUGACAUAUUCUAUUAAUUCAUUAAUAAAUUAUAUUGUAAGUGAUUAAAUAUUUAUAUUUAAGAAUUUUUAUAUAUUAAAUAAAUUUUUUAAAAAAAUUAAUUCAUUAAUAAAUUAUUUUCCAGUUUAUUUUUCAUUACACUACCAAACAUCAAAAAAUAUUUUUCCGGAAUUUAUUUUUUUCUGGAAUUCACUUUCUAAAAAAAAAUUACUUUUCUGCAAUGCUUUAAUUUAAUUUUAAUUUGAGGAAUGAAAUUAAGCCACAGUAGGAAUUGAUGAUCAUUGAUGGAAUCAACAUGUUAGAAAAGCCUAAGCUCUUCAAGGUUUGCCUCCUAGCCAUUGAUCAAUCAAGUUUCCAAAAGCAACAUACGAAGAUCCACCCUCCACCACAGCUUUCUUCGCCAUUUCACUGGUUUCUUUGGCCUUGUUCCUCAGUUCACCACCUUGUUCCAUCAUGGUUUUCACAGCUUUUGUUAUCACCUCCGCCUUGACAAAAUCUGUAGGACAAUCUCUCCUAAAAUCCAACGUCAAUUCCACUGCUAAUCCCAAGUCUUUCACCAGCUGAAAUGCAUUCACGUGUUGCUCAGAAUAUAAUGGCCAGGUUAUAAUAGGCACCGCAUACCACAAGGCCUCCAAAGUAGAGUUCCAUCCACAGUGUGAUACGAAAGCGCCUACUGCUUUAUGUGCCAAGAUUUCUACUUGUGGUGCCCAUCCACAUAGCAUCCCAAUGUUUUUAGUUCUUUCCAAGAAUCCCUGUGGCAAGAUCUCUCCAUAGUUGUCAAAAAAACUAGCUUGCAGCUUCCCCUUGGAGGGUUUCAACCGGAUGGACCACAAGAACCUAUGUCCACUCCUCUCGAGCCCGAUUGCAAUUUCUUUCAACUGAGCUUCAUCAAAGCUUCCUCCACUCCCAAAGCACAAGAACACCACUGAUUUUUCAGGUUGAUCAUCAAGCCAUUUCAAGAUCUCGUCACGCUUGACGGCAUCGGAUCCUGACAGACUCUUUCCCUUGUGAUCAAUCAAUGGCCCAACAUUGAAAAUUGGUGGUAUAUCAUCUCUAGCCAAAAGAGCACUAACUGCAUGGGACUCAGCUUCUGAAAAUGUAUUAACAAUGAUACCGUCGGAGUCCUUAAACUCUCUUCCAUGGUUUGCAAAAGCCUCAUAUUCCACAUCGAUGUGCAAUAACGGCAAAAGACGGUAAGGCACGGGAUUUGAAAACAGGGGAUGAUAUAGUCAGGGUCAGUAGGGCUAAACUUAGGCUCACCCUUGUCUUCUCUAUCUGAAAGGUAAAGCAUCGUGGCAAGAAAGGCAGCAUCAGAAGUGUAAAAAACAUGAGAAGGGACCCCAAGUUCUUUGGCAACAUCAAUAAAGGCAGUGCAGAACAUAUCAACAACAACACUAGCAAUUGGUGCAGGGUUGUGGGCCAUGACUUGGUUAACAAUAGUAUCUUUCACAAGGGUUUUGUGAUCAAUGAAAUAAGAAGUAUAAGCACUUGCAGGGCUUACGGCUAAAGCUUCUGGAGGAGGGGCAGGUAUGGUCUCAGGAAUUUCGAUGAACCUGAUUUCUGUAUGAAUUGAAGCAAGCGAUUCGGUGUUCUUGCUUGUGCCACCGUAAAUUGGAUUGUGGAUGGCAAGCAUGGUUAUCAAGAAACUGUCGUUUCUCUCAAGAACCAUCUUUGCUAACUGAACAGCUGAUACAAGGUGGCCAAAUCCAGGUGCAGGGACAAAGACUAGCUGUGUUUUCUUCAUUUUGGAGGUUUUGAAUGUUCAAUGUGGUGAUCCUUGUUUGCCUUAUAAUGGGCUCAAG
rnacentral:lncRNA from 1 species